UCGCGGCGGCCUCCGAAGAGACCCAAAUGGCCCUUGAGCAGAAAAGGGGAAGAGUGAAAGAGUGGAGAUGUAGUGCAGGAGGAAGGUGAUCUUUGCAGAGAAAUACUCUUUGAUGGGGGGAGAGGCAAGUGCGCGGAAAAAUGCGGAAACCCGGGGAAAAAGAGUUUCAGAGCAGUGAGGAAGUGGGAUAAGCAACGAGGAAGAAGAAAAGGACAGAAUGUGAAAGAACUAUGGAAGACAAAAAGAGGUGUCUGAAAGGAAACAGUAAAAGCGAGGCAGCAGACUUUCCAACGGCAGGAAGGAGGCACAAAGAUUACUCCGACAAAACGGAAUACAUUGAGAAGCAACAAAUGGAUAAGACUUCUUUAAAGUACUGGAAGGUGCAUCGCGGCGAACACGAGGAAGAUACAAAUGCUUUAACGUACUUCAGUGCAAGAUCAGAGAAAGGGGGGGGGGGAACCGUGAGAUCUGAAGGAGUUGGAACGAGCAAUUGUGCACGAAAGGGUGAAGAAAUUCAAUACAAGUCGCCUGGCGCGAAGAGGAAGUUUGGAGGGCAAUGUGCUUGCAGUAAACUGACGAUGGUGUGUGUGCUUGUAUUUGCGUGGACUUGCUUCAUGCUUCGGUGCAGAGUUUCAAAAGAGGUAAAUGACAAACUGAGUGUGUGCACAGAGGAGCCCUGUUGAAGCCUGGAGGACCAGUGGAUUGGAUAAUUAAUGCAAAAUGACUGAUGGCUGUUGAAGAAGGCAAGUCCUGCAAAGAGGAUUGUGCGUGAUCAAUGAAGCAUCACUGACUGACAGUUUCCUUCGAUCUUACACCCAGAUCCAACUACCGGAACGAGGACUUGUCACCAGAGGCCGGAGGCUACUCUCUGCAUGCUUGCAAGGCAACGCAAAACACACAAAAAAAGGGAAGAGAAACAGGACGCUUCUUAAAAACGGUUUUGCAAAAAAAAAGCGCAGGAGGGGACGAUAGGGAUCCAAAUUUAGGAAUAGGGAGCACGUGGAUACACCGUGGAAAGAAAUCCCAAGCUCGGCUGGUGUGAAAGCGAUUUCUCUACCGCUAUCUUCCCCUGACAAGUGAAUUUCUGCCGCUUGAUUCUUGCUAGCAUGUGUGUGAACGCGGAGCUCCGACUCUGAACCUGCUUGGGGAGCCGCCACGUACACGGCGUAAUCGCCCUGAUGCUUAAGUAAGCACUGUGUAAUGGGAGUACAGGAACAAUAUAAACUGCUCGGCCGCGAGCUCUCAAAUCAACUUGAGGAGAUGAGAUGGCCUCUCCAACAAAUUCUGCGCCUAUAAAAAUAUUAAACAAAUCGCUUAGGUUCUAAUCUGGAUUCCUCAGUCAGACAUUCCUGUAGAAAUAUGGAGACUCUCAGUUUUGCUGCUAAAUUUAGCAAUUGAGAGCGUCUACUUUAUAGCGCGCGAGUGCAUUUUAUUACAAAUAUAUGUCGCCAGUAAUCAAAGAAACUGGUCUUCUUAACAUCAAAAUUUCACUAACAUUUAACUUCACAGAGCAAUAUAAUUUAAGUCAACAAUUUCUAUCGAUUGUACAUUUGCAGGAGAAAGAUCCCAAUAACUACAGAUUUAAUUCCUGCUUGCUCGAUAAGUUUUUUUUAGCAUUUUAUUAAAAAUUCUAAUGUUAUUUCUAUGAACAGCAGGGCAAAGGCGGGCUAGCUUACAUUAUUCGAGUUAAGUUUUUAGCAUUUCCUUUUGUGGAUAUUGUUGCUUUGGUAGAUUUUUAAAAUGGAUUUGGCAAUUUCUGAUUAGAUCCGUCACGAUCGUUCAUUUACGGGAGGACUCACGUGCCCGCAAAUGUACGUAUGCGAGGUGCGAUCAAACCUUCAACCGGAGAUAAAUGUUUUGAGUUUUUCUUUAUGUAUCCAUGAGUAAUUAUUUAAACAAUUGUUUAAUUUGUUUUGCAUUUACGCGACAAGUGAGCUGCUUAUUUCUGACAAUGUAUCAGAUUUUCUUUAAAAUUAACAGACUUUAGCCCACGUUUUUUGUCGCUUAGCCUUGCUCUCCGUUUGAAAUGCACGCUUAGCAGUGGAGGUUCCUGUUUUAAUGGUCGCUAGUUUAAAAGAGCAGGGGAAAUAAACUCGAGCGUUCCUAACAAAAAAAACUUAUUGUGCUUAAACUAAAAGGAUUUUAUGACUUGCCGGAGUUGUUAAUUAUCAAUUUAUUGCAUAGCAAUAUGACGAAAACACAAUCGAUGCUCAAUAUGCACGAUGGUUAUUAGCAAUCGCUAUCUGUUGAUGAAUUUAUGUAUUGUAGUGAAUUUAAUUACCGAUCUAAAUAAAUGAUAUACACUGCGUGCAGAUGGCCAUUUUAAUAUUGGAUUGGACUGUUCCGCGUUGUGUGAACUUCCACGCCGGAGGCUCUGUAGCAGUUCUCAGAAGGAACAACGAACCGAGACUGUUUUCCACCCCCACCCUCGAGAUAAAAAUUCCUCUUUCGGUUCGAAUUGCAACCGAGGACGGGUCGGGUGGAGGUAGCUGUGGCCUCGGAGUGAGGCGCAUUGAAACAUUCAGGAGAGCUCGGAUUUCAAGAACCGGUAUUUGGCGGAAGGAGCUCGAAUGUAAAAUCUGUAUAUACCAGACAGAGCCCCGAGCGCUACUUCUUGCGGUCCUCCCCCGAUUCCCCGCCCAGGACGAGAACUUCCAAGCAUGAUGUUUAUUGCCCUGAACUUUCUGGCGAGGUCAUGGCCCUGGGAAAAGCGUGACGUCGUCCUGGGACCCCCCCUGGAAUGACGUCAACCCUUUUCGCUACUCGAUGGCGUCAUCGGCUUGACGUCAGCCACCGCUAAAUUUUCAGAACAAGCUGAGAUUUGAGUAAACUAAAGCGUGUCUUCACAGAAAGAAGUUUCACAUCGUUUGAAUAAUGGCUUCUUCACGAGUGCACUUAUUUCGUACGAGCUGAUGUCUUUAUUUAUUGUUGGAUUAUUGAUCUUUAGCAUUGAUUGGCAAUACUUUACACUCUCUAUCGCCUUCAUCAUUUGGCUACUGAAACUGCUGCCUUCAAUUUUUAAGGUUCCUACAAGUCUGGAAGCACAGCGGCCUGUCUGGGUCCCAGUGUCUGCACACACCCUGCAGAAUUUUAUCAGUUUUCAACUUAUAUCGUGGAGCAAUUUUCCUGUACAGGUCCAGUUAAAGUGAAAAUCCCAAACAUGGGGAAAUUAAACUCAAACGCACUGUGUAAUGUCUACAGCUGUAAGUCAGUGUCGACACCGAACACCAGUGGAGAUGGAAUGUUCGAACUGUUCGGCUUCAACGCACACAGCCUUCCUAGACGUGUUUCUAGACUAGUGACUUCCGCGGAGAUAUAACCAGUGGUAUUUAUACACAAGUUUAUAUAGUCCGGGAGAAGGCUUUUAUUAGCGUCUUCUUGAAGUUACCCUUUAAAUGCAUCAUAUAAUUUUGAUAGUCAACCAUAAACAUGUUCUAUUUUUAUGUGAAAACAAAUUGAUUCUACCUAUGACUUUUUCCUCAAAAGAAACAAAUCAAUUCAAUAUUUAUUCUUUCAUGCUGAAUCUGUCCAUCCAUCCUAGAAUAAUAUUUCCUCUGUUCAUCCAUUAUAUUUGAUUGUUUAAUAUUCUAAACUAAUUCAACUCUAAAGUGAUAUUUCCACCUUUAGCAAAGUGUCACUCACAAAUUAAAAUCACAUCAGAAACUUUAGUUAUUUAAUACUUUGUAAGAGUCAUUAAACUAUAAUUUUGUCGUAGUAAGAAAAACAAAUGACUCCAGAACUUUUAAAACUCAUUGAUUAUGCAUAUGCAGCCUUAAGCUGUCAUUUUAUUGUCUUGCAUAUUACCAUUUCUUCAUUAACCGUUUGAUUGAAUAGUAAUUGAAAUAAUUUUUCUUGGUAAUAGUUUAUAAGUAACUGCUGGAUUUAAAAUAAUAAAUAUUUAACAAAAAUGUUCAACAUAUUGCUGAUAUAAAAUUGACAGGAAGGGCAGCUUUUUGAGUCAGUACCUACUUGGCAUUGCACUAAUUUUACAGUUAAUUAUUGAGCCAAAGAUGAUUAAAU